UAGUAGCUGGAGCCUGUACGGGGGUGGAU
rnacentral:sRNA from 1 species